rnacentral:lncRNA from 1 species
GGGGCUAGUGCAGAGAUGACACAUAAAAUGUUUGAGUGAGAGUUAUGAAGGAGAAAGGAUUGAGAGGAAUGAAGGAGGUGAAUAAGGGUUUGGGGUUUCUUUUUUUAGUUUUGAGAAUGAAAAUUAUUAAAAUAAGGCAAGUGUUUCUGAUUUUUUUAAUUGGAGCUAGAGUAGGGAUGAUAGAGAAAAGGUUUGACUAAAAGAGAUGAAAGAGAAAGGGUUGAGAGGAAUGAAAGAGGUGGGUAAGGGUUUGGGGGUUUCUUUUUUAUUUUUUUAAUUUUGAGAAUGAAAAUUAUUAAAAUACCCUUAACCUUAAAACUUAGAGUUCAUGAUAUAUAAGGGUAUUUUUGUAUACUGAAACCCGGUACACAUUGCUAAAAUGCACCAACUGAAAAACAG